AUUGAACGCUGGCGGCAGGCCUAACACAUGCAAGUCGAACGGUAACAGGAAGAAGCUUGCUUCUUUGCUGACGAGUGGCGGACGGGUGAGUAAUGUCUGGGAAACUGCCUGAUGGAGGGGGAUAACUACUGGAAACGGUAGCUAAUACCGCAUAACGUCGCAAGACCAAAGAGGGGGACCUUCGGGCCUCUUGCCAUGGGAUGUGCCCAGAUGGGAUGAUCUAGUAGGUGGGGUCACGGCUCACCUAGGCGACGAUCCCUAGCUGGUCUGAGAGGAUGAACAGCGACACUGGAACUGAGACACGGUCCAGACUCCUACGGGAGGCAGCAGUUGGGAAUAUUGCACAAUGGGCGCAAGCCUGAUGCAGCCAUGCCACGUGUAUGAAGAAGGCCUUCGGGUUGUAAAGUACUUUCAGCGGUGAGGAAGGGAGUAAAGUUAAUACCUUUGCUCAUUGACGUUACCCGCAGAAGAAGCACCGGCUAACUCCGUG
rnacentral:rRNA from 1 species